rnacentral:rRNA from 1 species
UACAGAGGGUGCAAGCGUUGUUCGGAAUUAUUGGGCGUAAAGCGCGUGUAGGCGGCUUGGCAAGUCGGGUGUGAAAGCCCUCAGCUCAACUGAGGAAGUGCGCCCGAAACUGCUGAGCUCGAGUGCCGGAGAGGGUGGCGGAAUUCCCCAAGUAGAGGUGAAAUUCGUAGAGAUGGGGAGGAACACCGGUGGCGAAGGCGGCCACCUGGACGGUUACUGACGCUGAGACGCGAAAGCGUGGGGAGCAAACAGG